rnacentral:piRNA from 2 species
UGGUCUUUGGGAAGGUGAAAGAAGG